rnacentral:lncRNA from 1 species
AAUUAACUGAGUAAUAUUAUAUGUGAAUAUAUAAAUAUAUCUUUCUAAAUGAAAAUAUAAAUAAAUAAAUUAUAUAUUUUUUCAGUGUAAUACAAAAUUCUCUAGGUGUGAAAACUUGAAUCCCGUUUUGUUAAUUUUUCCGUCAAUUAAUAGGCAUGAUUUUGCCAUUUCAUGAGUAGCAAAAAUUAGACAAUUCAGUUCAAAUAAUACAUGUCAUUAUGUUCACUAACAUUUAGAGAAGCAUUGGAUUUUUACUUUGGGAAUUAUAUUAUAGAUUAAAAUGGCUCAUGAAAUUCUGUCCUUUAAACACGGUUAUACAAUAUUUCCUUAGAAAACUUUUUUACUGUCAUUUUAAAUUUUUUCUGUAAAAUAAGAAUUAACUUUUCUGAGAAUUCCUUUACUUUCCCUCUGGCCUCAUACCCCUUGAGAGCCCAUAGUGAAUUUCAGCCUAAAGGAAUUCUUUUUCUUCAUAUGGCAUGGUCAUCAGCAUGUUAUGAAAUACAAAGACACAUUUACGAUUGGAAUCAUUCAACAAAAAGCAAAAGCAAAUGAGCCUGAAAAAGGAACUGAGCUGUUGUCUAGAAUGUCCUCAGAACCUUCGACACCUCAGUAUGACUUUGAAUUUAAUAACACUUUAUUUUCAUCUAUUUUUAACUUAAGCAUAACUCUAUUUAUGUGCAAUUGUGGGGAACAUAUGAGAAUUAAAAGUAUAGUGUGCUAGGUAUAGUCCAUGUCACAGAACACAAUCUAAAAGACUUUUAGUCUCUAGAAGUAGACCUUACACACACGUGUAUUUUUAAUGCCCAAAUAUAUGUUGCUGAUGAUAUUUAGGAUGAUAAAAUAAUAAGUUUCUAACUAUAAUUGUGGCACCUAAUUCUGUAGAUAUCACCAUCAAAAAUGCUGGAUACACAAUAGCUGGAUUUAACCAGUUUACUGUUAGAGAACAUUCAACAAAGGGGAAAAGUAGCAAGAAUGUUGUGAGUGCUGUGUAUAUAGUGCUUAGAUAGAUAUACCUCAAAGAUGCUUACAGAAGAAAGAAAAGAAAGAACAUAGACACAUAAAUUAAAGGGUGGAUCAUCACUGCUGUGUGAAGUCGACUAACAAGCAAAUAAUUGUUCUAGAGUUGGAGGGGGUGAUAAGAAAGAAAAGUGCAUGCAGAGGGAAAGCAUCUGGUGAUGAACAAGGUAAGGUGAGGCACAGAUGUGGGACUGUGUCUCUCAGGUGGGUGAAGGUGGAUGAUCCCUGAACUGAUACAAAGCUGUUUUCAAUGCUCUGUUUGAAUGUGGAUGAAUAAAUCAGACUUUCACUGAGGCA